GGGGACCUGUCACAGGGGCCCUAUAAACCACCGGCGGGCAAAUUCCCGUCGGCCAAGCAAACGGAAGACAGAAA
rnacentral:ncRNA from 1 species